GUGGGGAAUAUUGGACAAUGGGCGAAAGCCUGAUCCAGCCAUGCCGCGUGGAUGAAGAAGGCCCUAGGGUUGUAAAGUCCUUUCGACGGAGACGAUAAUGACGGUAUCCGUAGAAGAAGCCCCGGCUAAUUUCGUGCCAGCAGCCGCGGUAAUACGAAAGGGGCUAGCGUUGUUCGGAAUUACUGGGCGUAAAGCGCACGUAGGCGGCCAUGUAAGAUGGGGGUGAAAUCCCGGGGCUCAACUCCGGAACUGCCUUCAUGACUGCAUGGCUCGAGGAUGCGAGAGGUUGGCGGAAUUCCGAGUGUAGAGGUGAAAUUCGUAGAUAUUCGGAAGAACACCAGUGGCGAAGGCGGCCAACUGGCGCAUUUCUGACGCUGAGGUGCGAAAGCGUGGGGAGCAAACAGGAUUAGAAACCCCGGUAGUCC
rnacentral:rRNA from 1 species